rnacentral:rRNA from 1 species
GAUGAACGCUGGCGGCGUGCCUAAUACAUGCAAGUCGAGCGAACAGACGAGGAGCUUGCUCCUCUGACGUUAGCGGCGGACGGGUGAGUAACACGUGGAUAACCUACCUAUAAGACUGGGAUAACUUCGGGAAACCGGAGCUAAUACCGGAUAAUAUAUUGAACCGCAUGGUUCAAUAGUGAAAGACGGUUUUGCUGUCACUUAUAGAUGGAUCCGCGCCGUAUUAGCUAGUUGGUAAGGUAACGGCUUACCAAGGCAACGAUGCGUAGCCGACCUGAGAGGGUGAUAGGCCACACUGGAACUGAGACGCGGUCCAGACGCCUGAGGGAGGCAGCAGUAGGGAAUCUGCCGCAGUGGGCGAAAGCAUGACGGAGCAACGCCGCGUGAGUGAUGACGGUCUUCGGAGCGUAAAACUGUGUUAUUAGGGAAGAACAAAUGUGUAAGUAACUAUGCACGUCUUGACGGUACCUAAUCAGAAAGCCACGGCUAACUACGUG